rnacentral:rRNA from 1 species
GACGAACGCUGGCGGCGUGCCUAAUACAUGCAAGUAGAACGCUGAAGAGAGGAGCUUACUCUUCUUGGAUGAGUUGCGAACGGGUGAGUAACGCGUAGGUAACCUGCCUUGUAGCGGGGGAUAACUAUUGGAAACGAUAGCUAAUACCGCAUAACAAUGGAUGACACAUGUCAUUUAUUUGAAAGGGGCAAUUGCUCCACUACAAGAUGGACCUGCGUUGUAUUAGCUAGUAGGUGAGGUAAUGGCUCACCUAGGCGACGAUACAUAGCCGACCUGAGAGGGUGAUAGGCCACACUGGGACUGAGACACGGCCCAGACUCCUACGGGAGGCAGCAGUAGGGAAUCUUCGGCAAUAGGGGCAACCCUGACCGAGCAACGCCGCGUGAGUGAAGAAGGUUUUCGGAUCGUAAAGCUCUGUUGUAAGUCAAGAACGGGUGUGAGAGUGGAAAGUUCACACUGUGACGGUAGCUUACCAGAAAGGGACGGCUAACUACGUG